GAUUAGCAAUACUGCAAAAAGGCAAAUAAAGGCUUUUGGAGCCUUCUUAGAGGGGCUCGCAACCCCUCCUCAACU
rnacentral:tRNA from 1 species